GAGCUCAACGAGAACAGA
rnacentral:snRNA from 1 species